UACAGAGGUCUCAAGCGUUGUUCGGAUUUAUUGGGCGUAAAGGGCGCGUAGGUGGCGACCCAAGUCGAUGGUGAAAGCUCGCCGCUCAACGGCGAGUCGGCCACCGAUACUGGGUUGCUCGAGCACUGUAGAGGCUAAUGGAAUUCCGGGUGUAGCGGUGGAAUGCGUAGAGAUCCGGAAGAACACCGGUGGCGAAGGCGGUUAGCUGGGCAGUUGCUGACACUGAGGCGCGACAGCGUGGGGAGCAAACAGG
rnacentral:rRNA from 1 species